rnacentral:lncRNA from 1 species
AAAUUUUUUUAAAUUCACAAAAUUCCUUCCCAGAAAUCUCAAAUAUCCAUUCCCUUAUUUUAUGUCUAGGUCCAAUAUUUAACCUUUAAUCCAUCAUUUAAGAUUUAAAUAAUUUUCUAAAUUUUCGGGUUGUCACAUUCACCUAUUCUUCUAAGAAUUUUGUCCCCGAAAUUCAACUUACACCUUAUACCAUGCACCAUUCACCAUUCAUAC